CCCUACGGGGGGCAGCAGUGGGGAAUAUUGCACAAUGGGGGAAACCCUGAUGCAGCGACGCCGCGUGAGUGAGGAAGUAUUUCGGUAUGUAAAGCUCUAUCAGCAGGGAAGAAAAUGACGGUACCUGACUAAGAAGCCCCGGCUAACUACGUGCCAGCAGCCGCGGUAAUACGUAGGGGGCAAGCGUUAUCCGGAUUUACUGGGUGUAAAGGGAGCGUAGACGGAUAAGCAAGUCUGAUGUGAAAGCCCGGGGCCCAACCCCGGGACUGCUCUUGGAACUGCGUGGCUGGAGUGCAGGAGGGGCA
rnacentral:rRNA from 1 species